CUACGGGUUGCAGCAGUGAGGAAUAUUGCACAAUGGGGGGAACCCUGAUGCAGCAACGCCGCGUGGAGGAUGACGCAUUUCGGUGUGUAAACUCCUUUUAUAUGUCAAGAAAAUGACGGUAGCAUAUGAAUAAGCACCGGCUAACUCCGUGCCAGCAGCCGCGGUAAUACGGAGGGUGCAAGCGUUACUCGGAAUCACUGGGCGUAAAGGACGCGUAGGCGGGUUGGAAAGUCAGGUGUGAAAUCCUACAGCUUAACUGUAGAACUGCACUUGAAACUUCUAAUCUAGAGUAUGAGAGGGGGAGGUGGAAUUAGUGGUGUAGGGGUAAAAUCCGUAGAUAUCACUAGGAAUACCUAAAGCGAAGGCGAUCUCCUGGAACAUUACUGACGCUAAGGCGUGAAAGCGUGGGGAGCAAACAGGAUUAGAUACCCCAGUAGUC
rnacentral:rRNA from 1 species